CCGUCAGUCGGUCAUCUUGACGAUGGUAACUGCAACCCUGUUGAUCAGUGAACAUAUCCGUCUAGCGCCGCCAUCUGAUGAUGACGAGGGUGACUCAAUUACGUACUUUCAAAAAAAGUGGUUCUGCGGGUAAAAUCAUAAUUGAUCAUAUUGCAUUCACAUUGAUUAUCUGGUAUGUGAUUAUUUAAAAUGUACAACCAUUUUAUUUGGAUUUGUGCACACAAUGCCUAAAAUCCGACUGCACCAAAGUUCCGAAACAUUCGUGGAUUUAAAAGUAUUGAGUGUUUCGGUGAAUUAUUCGAAUCGAUAUUGGAAUAUUCUCGUAUUUAAUUCAUCAGGUAUUCAGGAGAAAAAUCAAGUAUUUUUUCUCCAUUUUUGUAUCAUUUCAUAAAAGCCUCAAAAUAAUUUUGAUGAAAUUUUCAUAACAUCCCUUCUGGAGCGCGUGAAAAUUGGCAAGGCCAGCGGAUCAGCCAAAAUUUACAUCAUCCCCUUACAGGUGUCACCACCUGCGCCACAUUGCAAAUUCACCCCACAUUCGUGAAAUCGUGAUGAAUUUUUUGAAUCAACCCGAAUGAAUCUUCAGAAGAGAAUUAAGCUGAAGAGUCGUUGACUGAGGAUUAAUGAUCUUUAGUUAACAUGGGACGCAGAGAACACUUGCGUUUUCAGGCAAUUCAUUACAUUUAAAUCAAUCCGAAUGAAUGUUCAGAGGUGUGUUGAAGUUAAUUUGGAACAUCGCGUUGGGUUGUUUGGUAUCGUUAGCGAGUGGUUUAAUUCGCUCGUUGCUCAAGAUCCGACUUUAACAGGGGCUCCGUAAUAUGAAGUGAGAGGGCUCUUAGCUCUUACCAGAUGUCUCAUCGGAUGUUAAGCCAGCGUUUCCAGUGGACAUCCAAGCAUCUGGAAAGCCGCCUCGUCCUCUUGACGUCAACGACACUCAGGCAAAGCUCAAAGCAAGUUUCGCAUUAUAGAGGGUUGCUCCCCCUCGAGCUUUUCUCGAAUCGCGAACAGUUGCUAGUUUAGACAGAAAAUCGUUUUUUGCCUCACUCUCAUUUUUUACUCACGGUGUUUCUUUCGGUCAAACCAAGCGAAUUCGAUGUGAAAAAAAAUUUAUUUUCAUUUUAUCUUUUCCUCUUUUUUUUAUGUUUACACAUCGUCAUCGUACUUCAUGUUCCUCUUUACUCUCCUCCGAGCAUUCCUCUCUACAGAUCAAAUUUUCGUUUUUAACGUUCAUCAACGUCGGGAAAAUUCUCGUCUGGUUACUUAAUGUCGAGCUGCUUUUGUCUUUGGAUGAAAUUAUGCUGACGACCUAAGGAUGUUCUCCUCUGCUCCAGAUUUUUUUUCCACCUUUUUUUCUCAGGCGUUUCGCAUUCGUGUUCACUUUGUACUUUUUGUCGCAAAUUCCACCGCAGCGAAUUUAUCAUUCGUUCCGUAUACGGAAACUAGAAAAUGAUCAUUAUUGCAAUAAAAUUCAAUACUCGGAUAAAGAUCAGAAGAGUUUCUGAAAAAGAUUUGAAAAAAUAAGAAAAUGAAAUGAAUCAGAGAAAACAGGCAGACCUGCCGGACAGGAUUAAUUCUGCUUGAAAAGUUCUGACAAUGAUAAAUUACCAGCUAUUGAAGGUCAUACAAUAAUCAAGGUUCGCUCUCGGUUACAUCGUGACAAAAAUGACUAUUGCCAUAGAUAUAUUGAACUAGAUCGGACAAGUUGGGAAAAGUCAGAGUCAUAGGGUAUUAAGUCGCAAAAUAAGAGUGCCAGCCCAGAGUGCCCUUUGCGUUUCAUGCUAAAACAGCCCCUUCAUCGACCUCUGAGAAAUUGUCGGUCAACCGCACGAGCGAUCUGUAGAUCCAAUCUUCAAAUUCAUCCUUAUAGACGGUGACGCGAACUUUUCCGAUCUUACCCGAACUUUUCCGAUCUUACCCGAACUUUUCCGAUCUUACCCGAACUUGCCCGAUCUUACCCGAACUUUUCCGAUCUUUCCCGAACUUUCCCGAUCUUACCCGAUCUUUCCCGAACUUUUCCGAGCUUUUUCCGCGCUUUUCCGAGCUUUCCCGAGCUUUUCCGGUUUUUCACCAAUAAUGAAACUCUUGCAAUUCGUAAGAACCUAAUUUUCAGAACGAGGAUCGAUCGUCGCCGACAAUCCAGACAAGGAGCGGUCAAACGGACACCAUUACGUGAGCCCGUUUGUAUAAGCACCUCUACUGACGAUGGUCAAUGAAAAUUGGCUGUUCGUUCCGACCACAAACCGAAGCUCGCUCUCCACGUGCGCACAACAAACGAUACGACUACAAAUUCCACUCAACACGAUCGUACGAAAUGUUAAAUCUCUGCUCCUGAGUUCACUGAAGCACGUUCUUGUUCCUGAGACGGCAGAUUUCUAGAGAGAAGAUACUUCAACGCCAUGCACUUUUCGAAUAAAUUGAUCUUGGAAAAAACCUCGGACGGAAGACUCGGUAGUUCACCUUAUUAACAGUCACGUGGUGGACCAAAGGUUCGCCAAAAUCUGCGAUCUAAGGUAUUGUAUAUGAAGUGAUGCAUUUUGGGCUCUAAAAUCAGGUAAUGACCCCAUGUUCGUAUCUUUAGCAGAAGAGAUCAUCCAGCUUCAAAGAAUAAUUUUCUACGAACCGCAUAUCAUUUAAAUCAUUAUUGGUAAGUGAUAACGGCAAUACAUCACCUACUGUGCAGAAUAGAUAUCAUUGACCUAAUCUUUGAUUUCAUUGUAAAGACAAUUCGAUCGUUGACUGAUGAAGGACUACAUUUAUUGUUAGUUCAGAUGGGAUUGUAAAGCAUUGAUUUUAACUUAUGUUGUACUCACUCGAGUAAAACUUGAGGGACGAAAAUUGUGACAGAUUCCUUGAUACUCGCGGAACCCUGCCAAACAAGAGUCGAGCUACAGCUGUGGUGGCCAUUAUUACGGCGGUCCGAUACUAUCGAGAUGCGUGGAACGAAAGAUGUGAAGCCGAUCUCGGAACUUUUGAUUACAUACGCCACUUCCCCGCGGUUACGUAAAAGGCGGGGAUUCGUAUCAGAUAUUUAUUAUUUAUGUAUUCUACAAAUCGUUCGUAUAUAUCUUUCAACACUAAUUACUGGAAUUUAUGGCUUUCACCAAUGGAACGUUAACAAUCAUGCAAUCUACAUCUAAAAAAACACGGAAUAAACGAACUUAUUUUGUGAAAUUUUUGUCAGGGAUUGAAAAAAGUUGAAAUUUUAUUGAAAUCUGAUCGCUGUUAAAAUCGUGAAAGUGAAUUGAACUCCAAGGGUUGUUGAAAUUCGUUGAACGCCUUGGUUCAAAAUCGUCGUUACAUGUAGUUAGAUACAAAGGUACACACAUGUGAUGUUUCCAGUACAGCCAGAACCGAACAUUUCGCUGUGCAUACAAUUUGAUUUCGCAUAUCGUGCAGUACAUGGCGGGCUAAGGCUACUCUGCAUGUGUAUCAUAUACGUGUACGUAUACCUCUGUGUACUUGAAUAAAUAUGGGUGUAGAUAAUGUUA